ACUUUUCAAUACUAUAAAGUUUUGUGUACUUAUUAUCUUUCUUAAGAUUCCUUUUGAUUUUUUCUAUAUGCUUGUAAGUGCUACUUACAAUUAUUUUAUUUAAGACUGCAAAUCAUUCUUUGUUCACAUUAUUAUUAUUAUAACUGUAUGAACUUUAUUAUCCUAUUGUUGAUAAAUAAUUUAAUCAGUGGUGGCUUGUCAACAGUUUUCAGAAGGUGCCCUGAAAAAUAAUAUGUAUUUCAAAAGUAUCUAUUAUUGGAUACCUCUUUUUAGAUGACAUUUUAUUGAAAUUACAUUGGUACCCAGACCCCCUGGUCCGCCCUCUAGUAAAUCCGCCUCUGAAUGUAAUUCACCUGCUCAUUUUGUGUUUAUAUCACUUAUCAAAAGUUUAAUUAUUAUAUAGUAAAUCAUUUCAAUCCAAACAACUUCAUAGUCCUAUUAAAAAUACACAUAAUACAUUUGUUUUCAUCCCAUUUAUACGUAGAUUUUUAUUAUUUUUUUAUCCAAUUAUACUUGAUGAGGA